ACGUAGGCAGCAAGCGUUGUUCGGAGUUACUGGGCGUAAAGAGUGCGUAGGCGGUCCUCUAAGUUCGGUGUGAAAUCUCCCGGCUCAACUGGGAGGGUGCGCCGGAAACUGGGGGGCUUGAGUAUGGGAGAGGAAAGCGGAAUUCCUGGUGUAGCGGUGAAAUGCGUAGAUAUCAGGAGGAACACCUGUGGUGUAGACGGCUUUCUGGACCAUGACUGACGCUGAGGCACGAAAGCGUGGGGAGCAAACAG
rnacentral:rRNA from 1 species